CCUCCUCGUUAAGUAGGUCCCGAAAGUACGCCUGCCACCUCUGCUUGACUUGAGACUUCCCCAUCAGAACUCUACCAUCCUCGCCCUAGAUGCACCUAACUUGGUCAAGAUCACGCGCCUUCCUUUCCCUUUCUUUAGCUAACCGGAAUAACUUCCUGUCCCCGCCUUUCUCCCCUAUUUCCUCGUACAUGCGACCAAAC
rnacentral:lncRNA from 1 species